CAAUAGCGUAUAUUUAAGUUGUUGCAGUUAAAAAGCUCGUAGUUGGAUUUCGGAUGGGACUUGCCGGUCCGUCGUUUCGAUGUGCACUGGCCAGUCCUAUCUUGUUGUCGGGGACUAGCUCCUGGGCUUCACUGUCCGGGACUAGGAGCUGACGAGGUUACUUUGAGUAAAUUAGAGUGUUCAAAGCAAGCCUACGCUCUGAAUACAUUAGCAUGGAAUAACACGAUAGGACUCUGGCUUAUCUUGUUGGUCUGUGAGACCAGCGUAAUGAUUAAGAGGGACAGUCGGGGGCAUUCGUAUUUCAUUGUCAGAGGUGAAAUUCUUGGAUUUAUGAAAGACGAACUUCUGCGAAAGCAUUUGUCAAGGAUGUUUUCAUUAA
rnacentral:rRNA from 1 species